rnacentral:rRNA from 1 species
GACGAACGCUGGCGGCGUGCCUAAUACAUGCAAGUCGAACGCUGACGUCGGAGCUUGCUUCUCUGGAUGAGUUGCGAACGGGUGAGUAACGCGUAGGUAACCUGCCUGGUAGCGGGGGAUAACUUUUUGAAACGAUAGCUAAUACCGCAUAAUAGUAGAUGUUGCAUGACAUUUGCUUAACAGGUUCAAUUGCAUCACUACCAGAUGGACCUGCGUUGUAUUAGCUAGUUGGUGGGGUAACGGCUCACCAAGGCGACGAUACAUAGCCGACCUGAGAGGGUGAGAGGCGACACUGGGACUGAGACACGGCCCAGACCACUACGAGAGGCAGCAGGAGGGAAUCUUUGCGAAUGGACGGAAGGGUGAACGAGGAACGCCGCGUGAGUGAAGAAGGUUGUCGGAUCGUAAAGCUCUGUUGUAAGAGAAGAACGAGUGUGAGUGUGGAAAGGGCACACAGUGACGGUACCUUACCAGAAAGGGACGGCUAACUACGUG